rnacentral:rRNA from 1 species
UGGGACUGAGAUACGGCCCAGACUCCUACGGGAGGCAGCAGUAGGGAAUUUUGCGCAAUGGACGAAAGUCUGACGCAGCAACGCCGCGUGAGGGAUGACGGCCUUCGGGUUGUAAACCUCUGUUGAGUGGGAAGAAAAGCUUUGUGGUUAAUAUCCACAGAGUCUGACGGUACCACUCGAGGAAGCUCCGGCUAACUACGUGCCAGCAGCCGCGGUAAUACGUAGGGGGCUAGCGUUGUUCGGAAUCACUGGGCGUAAAGGGAGUGUAGGCGGACCGGUAAGUUAGGAGUUAAAUGUACGGGCUCAACCCGUGAUCUGCUUUUAAUACUGUCGGUCUUGAGUAUGGGAGAGGGAGAUGGAAUUCCAGGUGUAGCGGUGGAAUGCGUAGAUAUCUGGAAGAACACCAGUUGCGAAGGCGGUCUCCUGGACCAAUACUGACGCUGAUGCUCGAAAGCUGGGGGAGCGAACAGGAUUAGAUACCCUGGUAGUCCCAGCCGUAAACGAUGGACACUAGUUGCCGGAGGAGUCAAUCCCUUCGGUGACGAAGCUAACGCAUUAAGUGUCCCGCCUGGGGAGUACGCUCGCAAGGGUGAAACUCAAAGGAAUUGACGGGGGCCCGCACAAGCGGUGGAGCAUGUGCUUUAAUUCGAUGCAACGCGAAGAACCUUACCUGGGUUUGACAUGGGGGUGAAAGUUUCCAGAGAUGGAAGCCUUUCCUUCGGGAACACCCCACACAGGUGCUGCAUGGUUGUCGUCAGCUCGUGUCGUGAGAUGUUGGGUUAAGUCCCGCAACGAGCGCAACCCCUGCCCUUAGUUGCCAUCAGGUAAAGUUGGGAACUCUAAGGGGACAGCUUGGUAUAACCAGGAGGAAGGUGGGGAUGACGUCAAAUCAUCGUGGCUCUUACGCCCAGGGCUAGACACGUGCUACAAUGGCAGGUACAGUGGGAUGCCAGCCUGCGAAGGUGAGCUAAUCCCUUAAAACCUGUCUCAGUCCGGAUUGGAGUCUGCAACUCGACUCCAUGAAGUUGGAAUCGCUAGUAAUCGCGGAUCAGCAUGCCGCGGUGAAUACGUUCCCGGGCCUUGUACACACCGCCCGUCAAGCCAUGAAAGGCGGUAGUACCCGAAGUCGCGUACCCAACCGUAAGGAGGGAAGCGCCGAAGGUAAGA